rnacentral:lncRNA from 1 species
UGAGUUUGAAUCUCACCUUUCUUAUUUUUAGUGCUUUUUCUCUUUUAUUUGGUUCUAACCUUUCUAUUUAUUUUCAAAUCACAAAAAUAUAUUUUUUUUAUUAUUUUAUUAUUAAUUUUGGUAUUUUUUAUUAACGCAUUUUUUAAAAUAUGAUUUUUUUCAUUUAAAUCAUGAUUUUUAUGCACAAAAUAGUCACAAAAUCAUAAAAUAAAAAGACUCAAUCAAAAUAUAUUUUUUUUCUUAUUAUUACUAUUAGCAUAUUUUCAUUAUUUAAAAUUCACAAAGCCAUGAAUUCAUCCAGAUUCAUUGACUUAGCCUUUAAGAAAUAGAUAAAAUCAGGUUAAAUGAAAUCUUUCCUACAC